rnacentral:rRNA from 1 species
GAUGAACGCUGGCGGCGUGCUUAACACAUGCCAGUCGAACGGAAAGGCUCCUGCUUGCAGGGGUACUCGAGUGGCGAACGGGUGAGUAACACGUGGGUGAUCUGCCCUGCACUUCGGGAUAAGCCUGGGAAACUGGGUCUAAUACCGGAUAGGACCACAUUUUGGAUGGUGUGGUGGAAAGUUUUUCGGUGUGGGAUGAGCUCGCGGCCUAUCAGCUUGUUGGUGGGGUAAUGGCCUACCAAGGCGUCGACGGGUAGCCGGCCUGAGAGGGUGUACGGCCAAAUGGGGAAGGAGAAACGGCCCAAACCCCAAGGGGAGGGAGAGGGGGGGAAUAUUGAAAAAGGGGGGAAAGCCGGAUGCAGCGGCGCCGGGGGGGGGAGGACGGCCUUGGGGUGGAAAACCCCUUUCGCUGGGGACGAAGCGAAAGUGACGGUACCUGGAGAAGAAGCACCGGCUAAAUACGG